AUGCAGCCAUACCGUUCCGGUCGCGUAUUGCUGGUAACAGAGUUCGAUUAUGGCUCAGAUUGAACGCUGGCGGGAUGCUACAGCCGCAAGUCAGUUGUAGCCCGGACUUCGGUCUGGUGGCGGCGAAGUCGGCGAACGGGUGAGUAAAUAUGUCGGAACGGUGCCUAGUAGCAAGGAUAACUGCGCGAAAGCGUAAGCCUAAUACCACCAUCACAGCCGUCAGAAAUAGGGACUAGCUGAGCCUCCUUUUCAACCGAAACAAAACCCGAUAUCGGAUUAGCUAGUUAGUGAAAUGGCACAGCUCACCAGGCGACCGAUCUGGUUGACUGGUUUGAAGACGACCGGCCACGCACCGGGACUAGAACGCGGCGAACUCCUACAGGAGGGCAGCAGUGGGAAUUUUGGACAAUGGGGAAGCCACAAGUCCAGCCAUCCCGCGUGUGCGAUGAAGGCCUUCAAGGUUGUAAAGCACUUUUGGCAGAAAAAACGGCACAGGAUGACAUGCACAAAUGCGGCUGACUGACCUGCCAGGAAUGGCGCCAGCUGGCUUUGCGGUGCCCUUUGGCCGCGUGCAUACGUAAAGAUUACAAGCGUUAAUCAGAUGCUGGGCGUAAGCGAUCACCGCAGAGCAGUUCAGAAAGAAAGAUCUGUGAAAUCAAACAACUUUGGAACUGCAUUUUUAACUACAAAACUAGAAGUGUAUCAGAGGAGGUGGAAUUCGCGUCAUAGCAGUGAAAUGCGUAGAUAUGCGGAGGAACUGCCGAUGGCGAGAAGCGACCUCACCGGGGGAUAACACUGACAGCUCAUGCACAGCGAUAGGGAGCAAACGGAUUAAAUAACCCUGGUAGUCCACGCCUAAACGAUGUCCGCUAGCUGGGGCCUUCAGGCCUUGUUGUACAGCUAACGCGUGAAGUUGACCGCGCAAGUACGGUCGCAAGAUUAAACUCAAAGAAGGAAUUGACGGGGACCCACAAGCAGUGGAUGAUGUCGGAUUAAUUCGAUGCAACGCGAAAAACAACCCACCUACCCUUGACGUGUCUGGAACCCGAAGAGAUUUGAAGUGCUCGCAAGAGAACAGGAACACAGGUGCUACGUAAGCUGCUCGUCGCUCGUGUCAUGAGAUGUUGGGUUAGGGUCCUGCAACGAGCGCGGCCUUAAUCAUUGAUUGUACCGAGGGCGCUCUAAUGAGGCUGCCGGAAGUGACAAGAACCUGGAAGGUCAGGGGAUAGGCGUCGCCGAAUCCUCAUGGCCCUUAUGAGUGAAGACACCACACGUCAUACAAUGGUCGGAAUGAAGGUCGCCAACCACGCGAAGGAGCCAAUCACAGAAACCCGAUCGUAGUCCGGAUGCUAGAUCUGCCAACUCGACUGCGUGAAGUCGGAAUCCGCUAGUAAUCGCGGAUCGGCAUAAUGUAGCGGUGAAUACGCGUUCCCGGGUCGCUUGUACACACCGCCCGUCACCACGCCAUGGCGGGGAGUGGGUUUUACCGAAGUAGUUGGCACAACCGUAAGGAGGGCAGAGAUUACACGUGGGAUUCGCUGUGACUGGAGACGAAGUCAAAACAAGGUA
rnacentral:rRNA from 1 species